rnacentral:rRNA from 1 species
UGGGGAAUAUUGGACAAUGGGCGAAAGCCUGAUCCAGCCAUGCCGCGUGAGUGAAGAAGGCCUUCGGGUUGUAAAGCUCUUUCGGCGGGGACGAAACGGUCCGUGACAACACCACGGACUAAUGACAGUACUCGCAGAAGAAGCACCGGCUAACUACGUGCCAGCAGCCGCGGUAAUACGUAGGGUGCAGGCGUUAAUCGGAAUUACUGGGCGUAAAGCGUGCGCAGGCGGCUCCUUAAGUCAGAUGUGAAAUCCCCGGGCUUAACCUGGGGACUGCGUUUGAAACUGAGGGGCUAGAGUGUGGAAGAGGGGGGUGGAAUUCCAGGUGUAGCAGUGAAAUGCGUAGAGAUCUGGAGGAACACCGAUGGCGAAGGCAGCCCCCUGGGCUAACACUGACGCUCAUGCACGAAAGCGUGUGGAGCAAACAGGAUUAGAUACCCGGGUAGUCCCUGAGCGGGCUGGCAAGGCGCAU